rnacentral:rRNA from 1 species
CCCCGCCCGAAAAAAAAAGAAACCCACGAGGCCACGACCCCACGUCCCACGCCCACGCAACCUCCUCAUCUCCGGCACCCAUCGCUCCCGAUCCCGUCUCUCUCCCCGCCCCGGCGCUCCAGAGAAAAAAAAUUCUCUGACUCUCCCCUUCUCGUACGCCCCGCGGUCGCGGUCCAGGGCUCCAGGCAGUAGGAUCCAGUCCCAUCAACAAUCCUCUCCUCCUCCCUCUUAUCUGCACAACUCUAGAUCGCAUCCAACCAUAGGCGAGCUUGACGGCGGCACAGAAGGAGAACGUCGGUACCUCGGCGCCGGAGGACGUACUUGGCCUGGAGGUGGUGUGCAGGUGCAGCCGUACGACUCGGCCGUCGGCCAUGGCAGAUGCGCUGGCCGCCGGGAACCGGGAAAGCCAGUACGCCACCGUCGGGGACGCCGUCAGGGUGGGGUUCUCUGUGCGACAGAAGGCCGGCGCCAAGUGGUGCUGCGAGUGCCAGGCUUCUAGAGGGUGCAGCGGGUAUGGCAGCCCGGUGCCGGUUGAUCACACGUGCUUCUGCUCCGGCAGACAUGCUAGCAGGUUGUGGCCUACUACUUCGUCAGGUUCAGGUACCCUGUCCUUGAUUGAUCUAAGAGGUAAAUGGUUGGUCAACGAUGUUUGAUUGAUCUAAUUAAUCCUUUUUUUGAAACUGAUCUAAUGAACCUUGAGAUGUCCUAAUUUCUGACCAGUCCAUUUACUGGUAAGGGAAGACUUCUCUUAUUUUAACCUGACGCUUUAUCUACAGGUAUGUAGACUAUAUGUUUGAUUGAUCUAAGAGGUAAUUGGUUGGUCAACGAUGUUUGAUUGAUCUAAUCAACCUUUUUUUUGAAACUGAUCUAAUCAACCUUGAGAUGUCCUAAUUUCUGACCAGUCUAUUUACUGGUAAGGGAAGACUUCUCUUCUUUUAAACUGAUCUAAUCACUCUUUGACUAUAGGAAAUCGAACAAAUUAAGUAGGAUGAAGACAUAAACACAAACAAGGUAGUAGACGAUGAACGGGACAAUUCCCUCAAAUUCUCCACAUUUAGCAUGUUCUCUACUUCACAUGUUGUUUAAAUCAAGCCGUGUCUAAGUAGAGAUAAAACUUGUCUACUCUAUUCCAAGCUGCAUUUCCUUUUAUAUACAGAAUCAUUUUUGACAUAGGUUUUUGACACUACAGGACCAAAGAAACCAAUGGUGAGCACAAUUAACCAAUGGCGCACAUGGACCAAUUCAAGGGACUUUUCGGCCUCCUGUUGGCCGAAGAGGGACUUUUCGGCCAACCGUUGGCCAAAAAGUACUUUUCGGCCAACAGUUGGCCAAAGAGUCCCUCUUCAGCCAACAGUUGCUCUACUUUUUAAAAAAUUCAUAUCAAAUAGGAUUUUUAGUAUUUUAGUUUGAUUUGAUUCUUUUUGCAUUAGAUUAAAAAAUUUAUGAAGUUUCUGUAAAUAUCGAGUUUGACUAGAUUUGAAAGUUUGAAUUUGAAUUUUCAUGAAUUUUCUCAAAUCACUAGAUUGCCUAUAAUUUGAGCUAGGAGUAUUCUUUUUAGACGAUUCUUUUUGCUACUGGUUCUUUAAGAAUUUGUUUAUCAGUAGUAAUUAAUUGGCGAAUUUUAUAAUUAUUUAAAAUUAGGUUUUUAUGAAAACAGUUCUGAUUUAGUGUUUUAUAGGUUUUAUGCUAUUUCUUUUAAUUUUAAUUGAUUUAAAUUUUUUCUUUAGUAUUUUUGACAUAUUAUUUUUGUUUCUGUUUUGUUAUCAGUAGCUAUUUUAUUUGUAAUAUUUUUUUGUAUUUUAUUUCUUUUAUCCUACUAGAAAAUUUGUUUUGAGCUUCAUAGGAGUUUAUAUUUAAAAGUGCCUUGUAAAUCCUGUACAACCAUUGCCAUUUAUACAUGAAAAAAAAUACUUUCCCGCAAUCUUUUUCCCUCCAUCUUCUUUGCCACCAUUUUCUUUCCCGCCAUUCUCUCCCGCCACACUAAGGAGUGCUGCAUCGAUGGAGGAUGACGAUGAUGCCUUCAUGUGAAGUGUGAAACACUGUGUGAGAGAAGUCAUAAGUGUGAAACACUCUCCGAUGAUGAUGACGAAGCUGCAAACACUUAUGACUUCUCUUAGACAGUGUUUCACACUCCACCACCAGCACCGACGCAGGAGACACAGACCGUGUCAGACGAUGUUAUCUACGAUCGUGGACACCAUGAGGCUUGUUUUAUAAGUUGAGAAGUGAAGAUGGCGAGAAAGAAGAUGGCGGGCAAGAAGAUGGCGGGAGAGAAUGGCGGGAAAGAAAAUGGAGGGAGGGAAUGGCGGGAAAUAAAAUGGCGGGAGAAAAUGGAGGGAGAGAAUGGCGUAAAAACCUAAUUUUAAAUAAUCCUAAAAUUCACCAAUUAAUUACUACUGAUAAACAAAGUCACAAAGAACCAGUAGCAAAAAGAAUCAUCUAAAAAGAAUACUCCUAGCUCAAAUUAUAGGCAAUUUAGUGAUUUGAGAAAAUUCAUGAAAAUUCAAAUUCAAACUUUCAAAUCUAGUCAAACUUGAUAUCUACAGAAGCUUCAUAAAAUUUCUAAUCUAAUGCAAAAGGAAUCAAAUUAAAAUACUAAAAAUCCUAUUUGAUAUGAAUUUUUUUAAAGUAGAGACAGGUUGAAGAGGGACUCUUCGGCCAACGGUUGGCCGAAAAGUCCCUCUUCGGCCAACAGGAGGCCGAAAAGUCCCUUUUCGGCCAACAGGAGGCCGACAAGGUGAUACUUUUUAUUUUUCUCCAUUAAGAUGUAUAGGUUCCGAAUUUGCUAUAAAAAUCAUCAUAGUUUAAAAAAAAUAAUCCAAUUCAAGCAUUUGUAAGUGUUCUAUUUUUCUUCUCUUACGAAUUCAAGCAUCAAUGUGCAUGGUUCUUUCUUCAUCUAUUUCAUCGCCGUUUGCCACUUCUGAAAGCUCUGUAGUUGCUUUGGUUCUGUUUGUGCUUCUCGUCGUUGUGCCAUUCCAGUACAUACGCAAGAGGAGGCAGUACAAGUGACUUCCUCGUCCAGGCUCCUCAAGUACAGUAACUCAGGCGGGACACCCAGCUCCAGAGUGGCAGCGACCUGGAGUCCGGCAGAGUCCACAGGCUGCAGACACACCAAUUCACAUAUGAGGAGCUGGAGGAGCGCACCGGCGGCUUCAGCGACACGUGAGAGCUCGGCGGCCAGCGACGGCUUCGGCACCAUGCAUGUACAAAUGAUAACUGCGAGACAGGCGGGUAGUGGUGGUGAAGCGGCUGCACGACAACAGCUGCUGGCACGUGCAGCAGUUCAUGAACUAGGCGACGAUCCUGAACCUCGCCAUCAUCUAUGGAUCCUGUCGCAGCUGCACCACCUGAACCUCGUCAUCUUCUACGGCUGCACGUCUAGCCGCAGCCGUGAGCUGCUGCUGGUGUACGAGUAGAUACCCUGCAGCAUCAUGGCCGACCACUUGCACGGCCACCGCGCGGCAGUGCUGCCGCUGCCAUGGUCACUCCGCCUCAAUGUCAUCACAACGCUAGCCUAUCUCCAUCCUAUCGAGCCUCCCAUGGUGCACCGUGACGAGAAGACUACCAACAUCCUCCUCGAUGCCGAAUUCCACGUCAAGGUGGCCGACUUUGGCCUCUCCCAGCUCUUCCCGCUUGACGGCGCCACAAUCCUUUCCACGGCGCCNNNNNNNNNNNNNNNNNNNNNNNNNNNNNNNNNNNNNNNNNNNNNNNNNNNNNCCUUAGCUCAGGGUAAGGAGUGAGAAGUUGUGCAUGUACGUGUGCCUCUGUAGAAGUCUUAGGUAUAGUUGUGUGAACAUGAAAUUUGAGUAGACAUAGGCAAAAUGAAACACUAGAAUAGAACGUCGUGACAAUGCCAGAAGUUAGAAAUGGAAUUUCCUAUGUGGCCAAUGAAUGUAACUCCGUGGAAGGUUGGAUUUCGGAAUAAUUAUCCUACAUAGAUGUUGUAAUGAGAAAUACCGGCCCAGUAAACACCAAUUUAGCAAUAGCCAUGCAUGCCUUUGAAUAUAAUUGCUGUUGCUCUCUUGUACUGUUUUGUGUUUCAGCUGGCAUGUGAAAAAAAUGUAUUAUUUCAUACAUAGGUUUCAGUAUAUUCUGAAUCUUAAUGUUGAAAAUGUCGUCUUUCAAAUUUUGCUUCACUUCUUGCAUGGUUAGUGUGCUUUGUAUCUCUUAUCUUCUAUUACCUUUUUUUGUUUCACAUUUUCACACUCUAUCUUGUAGCUUGUAUCUGAUAUUGCCGCCAGGGGUACGUCCUUUUGAUAGAUAUUGGACGAACUAAUUCCAUAUUGUUUUUUAGUGUGUGCAUCUGCAAUAAUGUUGUAUGCAGUCAGAUAUUUUACGGUGGCAGGAGGAAGAUCCUGGAUGAGUUGAACUAGCAUGCAGUAGAUAUUGGAAAUUUGGAAUGCAUAUAAGUCACAUCAGCUCAUGUAUUGGGAACAUAUACAAGGUUUUCUGUGCGGAAGUAUUCAGAAUUUACAUUGUAUCCUUCAAGUUAUUGGUCUAUCUAUCUUCUAUUUAUCUAUAUUUCAUUUUGCAAACCCAAAAGUAGAUCCAAAC